UACGGAGGGUGCAAGCGUUGCUCGGAAUUAUUGGGCGUAAGGGUAGGUAGGUGGUCUCAUUUGUCUGGGGUGAAAGCCUUGAGCUUAACUCAAGAAGUGCCCCAGAAACGGUGAGACUCGAGUCUUGGAGAGGGAUGUAGAAUUCCAGGUGUGAGCGGUGAAAUGCGUAGAUAUCUGGAGGAACACCGGUGACGAAGGCGGCAUCCUGGACCAUUACUGACGCUGAGUGAGCGAAAGCCAGGGGAGCAAACGGG
rnacentral:rRNA from 1 species